UACCAUCCCUUCAUUCUCUACAUUCAUUCCAUAAUUCCUUCCGAUACCUCCCUUACUUUUCGGCUGCGGUGUUGUCAAAAGGAGAAAACUUGCUGACUUGCUCUAACACCCACAUAUGCCCAUUCCCAACUCAAUCCCAUGAUCCCAUCCCCACACAGAGUCCACACACGCCAAUAACGUCUCCUGCUCCUGGUCCAAAACCAAACCCCCAACCCAAUCGAGCCAACUCUCAACAUAUAUCUUUUUCGGCGUCCACAAUCUACAUCCAUCUUCGUCUCUCUUUGAUCACACGAACUUAGAUAGGGGUCCUCAGAAAGUACCACAGGCUUGUGUUUGAAGCAUCCAAACAGAAAAAAAAAAACUGCGAGAUUUUCUUUAUGGAAAACAACCACCAAUCCCAACCUCUGCAGCCCACCAAAGCCUCCAGAUUCAAGCGCGUAUGUGUUUUUUGUGGCAGCAGUCCUGGCAAGAAUCCCAGUUACCAGCUGGCUGCUAUUCAGCUCGCCAAUCAGCUGGUUGAAAGGAACAUUGACCUUGUUUAUGGAGGUGGAAGCAUUGGGUUGAUGGGAUUAGUCUCCCAAGCUGUCUUCAAUGGUGGCCGCCACGUGUUAGGGGUGAUUCCCAUAACGCUUAUGCCCAGAGAGAUAACUGGAGAGACUGUUGGAGAAGUGAGGCCUGUGACUGGAAUGCACCAAAGAAAAGCUGAAAUGGCUCGACUGGCAGACGCAUUUAUAGCCUUACCUGGUGGCUACGGCACCUUGGAGGAGCUCCUAGAAGUUAUCACUUGGGCUCAGCUGGGGAUCCAUGACAAACCGGUAGGUUUGCUGAAUGUGGAGGGGUAUUAUAAUUCCCUUUUGUCUUUCAUAGACAAAGCUGUGGAUGAGGGCUUCAUUAGUCCCUCUGCUCGUCAUAUAAUCGUUUCUGCCCAAACUGCUCAUGAGCUCAUGUCCAAGCUUGAGGAGUAUGUUCCAAAGCAUAACGGGGUUGCUUCCAAGCUAAGCUGGGAGAUGGAGCAGCAAUUGGUAUACACAACAAAAUCGGACAUUGCUCGUUGACAGUCCCCGUCGGGUUGAAGGGGAGGUGAAGGGUAAAUUCUAGGAAGAAAGUGGAGAGGAGAAUGGAAGAUUUGAAUAUGAGACCCUCGCGUCCCUUUGUGAUAUUUAAUAUGCAAGAUGUGUAGGGCUUAAGAAGUUAGGAGGAGGAGAGGAGAUCUGAACCCAGGUCCUCGCUCGUUUAAUCCUAUCCUAUGACGUAAAGUGGUUAAAUCAUACAUAGACCUGACUAGGGUACGCUCUAACUUUGACCAAACUUUACGGAGAAUUUUUGUAAUUAUCCCGACAGUAAAUUACUGUGUGCGUAAUUAUUCUCAUCUGUGCAUGUCAAAAUUUGGACAGUAGUGCAUUAUUGAUGAGUGAAUAGAUAGAUAAUUCUCCAUGAAUGGAUAAGACAGAGGAGCGAAAUCUUUGCCCAAAGAGUACACUACCAUCUUUAAUUUGCCAGACCAAAAUGGGACCUUACGCU